rnacentral:lncRNA from 1 species
CUUGCCCUUCUCUGACUGUUCCUUAAUGGGUGCACACCAUGCUCUAAUUGUUUCUAGUAUUUGUGCACAUCCUUCCUGACCCCCAGGGUUUACUGUGAUCCCAGGAGGCCACUUUGUGGCUGUCUCUUUUUCAGGUAGUCGCUAGUUAACUUUUGAUUGCUCUGAUGUUUUUAUUGUUGCUACCUUUAUUAUAGAGCUAUAAGCCCCUCCAUUGUUUUCAGUAAUACCUUUGACAUGGAAUUCUCUAGGAUUUGCUCCAGAUAAAAUCUGUUCCCUCAGGCAGAGCUGUGGAGCUCUUCAUCAUUAAGGCCUUCUUUGCAGCCUGCCUCUCAGCCUGGGCAGAAUCUCUGUGCCACCGCACAAGAGCUAGGGGCAGGGACAAUAUCCCACUUUUUCUGGAUUGGCACCCCUGUUCUAUAAGCAGGUACUGGGGGUGUGGUGGCACUUUCCUUCAUUUUCCAAGAACAAUUGACUCUGCCUGCCUGGCCUGAGGAAGGCUCCUGGGCAUCAUUGCUCUGGCAGGUGGUUUUCAUUUGCUGUCUAGAGAUGCUGGCACUCCUGCAAAUUCAGUUCCCAUCUCACUCCCAGCCAGGUCCCCAACACUGCCUGCAUCUGAUACAAUGGCUUGUUACCGCCUGGAAUAUGUAGUUCUAACAGUAACACAGCCCUCUUUUUCUUCAGCAACCAUCAGAAAAAAGGAUUUCUUGGACCAUUACAUUUCAAAAUAUAUUUUUACAUUUCAAAUAAAUAUACUACCUUAAAAAUAUUUCUUCUGAAAUAAAAUAUAUUGUCCAUUUAACCUCUGACAAAGAAGCUGAAUUGGAGUGGGACUUCAUUGUAAAGCCCUGGCAGCUGCUGCCUAGGUUCAGUUUCCUAAGCAACCUGGAAACUUAAUUAGACCCAAACAACAAGGAUGAGUAUUUAGAGAAAUAAGAUUUAGUGGAAUCACUAUCAUCAAGGAUCUAAGAACCGAGAUUAUUGAGGGAAAGAAAUGUAAAAAUGAGGUAAAGCAAUCUGAUGAUUAGAGAAAUUAGCUACAGAGCUUUUAAAAUAAUAUUUUUAAAGAACUUUAAUAUUUUAAAUCAUUAGCCUUCAGGUUUUCAGUGGCAGAUGAGAUUACAAGUAUUUAAACAAUCAGCUUGAAUUGCAUUGCUUGAGACAAUGUUUGCACCAAUUAGCUCCUGAAAGUUAAAGAGAUAUUCCUUUAAGGAAUGAUCCUUGAAUUAGACCUUGGAAAAUGGGUAGAAUUUGAAUAUGCAGGUUUAUGUAUAUUUAUGAUCACAGUUAGUCUGUUUAUUCAAUUCAAAUUCCACAUGUAUUGUCAUCACUGUUUGCUGUUAUAACUUCUUAUGUCUCCUCCUGCACCAUUCCAUUUCCCCACAACCCUUGUAAACACUGGUUCCAGGCUCGUAAUAUGAAACCAAAGUUUGCCUCCCUGUGUAUUCUUUUUCGUCCCAGUUAUACCCUUGAGUCAAAACGAACCCAUUUCUCUUUUACUGAGCUUUUAAUAUUUGAAGUCGAUGAUGUUUCUUAUUUUUGUUCUCUUCCCAGACUAAUUACAGGAUCUCCACUUCUUCCAAUCAAUCUUAAAGUCUAAAAAAUAAAAGAUUUGGAAAUCAGAGGUGCAUUUCCUUCAUCAUCAGGUAUAAGUAUUUUCCUAUCAUAAUUGUUUAUUCUUCUCUCAAUUUGCUUCCUAAUAUUGAUUAAAACUGCUUACUAUUUUUUAUUUGACAUAAUCUUAAGGUGAAAAACUCCACACUCUUGAUGGCCAUUUUAAUCAAUUCACUUCACUGCUCUGAAAAAAAAAUCCAGUAGAUGACUUUUUAGGCUUAACCAACCUGGAGAGCACCCAAGCACUUUCCAUUGGUGUGGCACAAACUGCACUGAUGCACACUUUACUGAACAGAUUCGAGUCUCUGGAAUAGCAGAUAUGUACUAUCCACAUAUAAUUUGCUUACUGUAGAGAAUAGAAGAGAAUGAUUGUUCAGUAAAAUGUUUGCUUAUAUAAUCUGUGUGACCAAAAUAAUUUGCUGUUGGUCCCCAUGUAUAUCUUGCCAAUUACCACAUCGUAUAUUUUCCAUUUCCCAGUUUUCAUUUCUGGAAUUUAUUUCCUAUUUUAUUGUGUGGCAAAUUAUCUUUAGUUUC